UCCCCGAUAGCUCAAUCGGUAGAGCGGGUGGCUGUUAACCACUAGGUUGGCGGUUCAAGUCCGUCUCGGGGAGCCA
rnacentral:tRNA from 1 species